ensembl:bidirectional_promoter_lncRNA Lrp8os3 low density lipoprotein receptor-related protein 8, apolipoprotein e receptor, opposite
GUGUGCGCGCAGGUGCUAGGAGCUGUAGACUCUAGGACGAGCCCGGCUAGGCUCUGGCCCCCCUGGUUUCCCCGCGGAGGUGGCAAGCGGGUGAGAGAAGGAGGCGUAUAGAGGAGAGCCCGGACUCGGGGGAAGGAGAGGUUCCAGACGCACAGGCCGGUGCAGUGAACGCGCCGAGCGCGGGAAGGCUGAAAGCAUUGUCAGGGAGAAGCUAGGGGUGCCGGGCAAGAUCUGUCAUAGCUUCAGAUUAGAUGAGUCGCUUUCUGCGACCGUGUGCAUCUGUGAUUAUCACUGUGUGAUCCUGAGAGAGGUCCCAGGAAUCGGGCUGUCAGGCUUGGCAGCGGGCACCCUUACUGACGUCAUCACUGGCAAAGAAACAGGCAGCCUGGCUGAGUUCAUUUCUAUCUGCUUUUGAUUGUGGACCAAGGCUUCGCGUUACCACCUUGACUUCCCACCAUGGCGACCGUAAUGUGGAAUGUAAGUGCCCUCCUCUGAGUCGAUUCAGCUUAGAGUGUUCUAUCAUAGCAACAGAAAUGAAACCAGAACCUUGGCGUUGACUGUGUCCGCACAGUUGUGAAACCAUCACCACAUCCACACCCAUCAAAUGGUAGCUUGCAUCUCCACCCCAACUCCUGGCAAUCAUCACCCCUCCCCCACCCCACCUCCAUUUCUUGUCUCAGUCAUCUGUUGGAGGGAGUAGAUUGUUGUUCCUUUGGAACCUGAGUGUUUUACGUAUGUCUUCAAGGUUUCUCUGUGCCACCUCAUGCUCCAGGAUUCCAGCCAUUAUAAGGACACAGAGUAUUCUGUAUGUAUUCCGAAUUCGUCUAACCGUGUGACCCUUGCACUGGUUCUAUUGUGUCCAUUGCCAGUGCUGCUGCAGUGAACACGUGCACACACACCUGCGUUCAGUUAUUUGGGAUACAUCCAGACAUGAACUUGCUGGACUGUGUUGUGACUGUUGUUUUAGUUUUUGAGGAGUCACUGGGCUAUUUCCACAGUAACACUUCCAUUUCACGUUUCCAUCCAGAAUGUACAAGGUUUUCCAAUUCUCCCCAUACCAGUCAAAAGUUGCUAGUUUAUGGAUUUUGUUAUUUGAUUUGUUGAAUUUUAAAAAUAUAAUAGCUAGCCUAAUGAAUGUGAGGCUGUUUUUUAAUUGUGGUUUGAAUUUGCAUUGCUAAUGAUCAGUGAUAAUGAGCAUAUUUUCAUAUGUUUUAUUGCUCAUUUGUUUAUCUUGUUGGACAAAUGUCUAGUCAAGCCCUUUGCCUAAUUUUAAGUCAAGAUGGGGUAGUGUUGUGGUUGCUAUGACUGAGUUAUAGGACUUGCUGGAAGUGUGUGUGUGUGAGAGUGCACAUGCCCUUGGAAGGCAGAAGAGGGCAUUGGGUCCACUGGCACUGGAGUUACAGGCAGUCCUGAGCUGCCUGACAUUCAUACCAGAAAUUGAACAACUCAGGUUGUUUGCCAGUGUGGUCAGUACAUGUUCUCACCCAGUGAGCCACCUUUCCAGCCUCAGGUCCUGUAUUUCUUCUGUCAACCCUUCAUCACACGUACACUUGCAAAUGGCUUCCCAUUGAUUCUGUAGAUGAUUCUGUAGAUGGUUUUUUCCCUCUGCUGAUUUCCUUUGCUAAACAUUUCUUUUGAAGUUUGUUGUAACCCAAUCGUUCUAUCUCUUGUUUGUUGCCGAUGCUUUCGUUAUUGCAUUUUGCAAGGCUUUUUAUAGGAUAAUAAAAAAAUAAAGA